rnacentral:rRNA from 1 species
GACGAACGCUGGCGGCGUGCUUAACACAUGCAAGUCGAACGGAAAGGCCCUGCUUUUGUGGGGUGCUCGAGUGGCGAACGGGUGAGUAACACGUGAGUAACCUGCCCUUGACUUUGGGAUAACUUCAGGAAACUGGGGCUAAUACCGGAUAGGAGCUCCUGCUGCAUGGUGGGGGUUGGAAAGUUUCGGCGGUUGGGGCUGGACUCGCGGCUUAUCAGCUUGUUGGUGGGGUAGUGGCUUACCAAGGCUUUGGCGGGUACCCGGCAUGAGAGGGUGAACGGCCACAUUGGGACUGAGAUACGGACCAGACUCCUACAGGAGGCAGCAGUGGGAAAUAUUGCACAAUGGGCGGAAGCCUGAUGCAGCAACGCCGCGUGCGGGAUGACGGCCUUCGGGUUGUAAACCGCUUUCGCCUGUGACGAAGCGUGAGUGACGGUAAUGGGUAAAGAAGCACCGGCUAACUACGUG